AACUUUGAAAUUCGAUCUGAU
rnacentral:miRNA from 1 species